ensembl:miRNA
UAUUGGUUGGGUCAAAAAGUUCAUUUGGGUUUUUCCAUAAGAUCUUACAGAAAAACUCAAAUGAACUUCUUGGCCAAUCCACU